ACCGAUAGCUCAGUGGAUAGAGCAUCCGCCUUCUAAGCGGAUGGUCGCAGGUUCGAAUCCUGCUCGGUC
rnacentral:tRNA from 1 species